CAUAUGCAGCCUUUCCUCUGGAGGGUGAGACGGUGCUCAUGAAAAUGACUUGGCUAUCACCAACAAGGGAGGUUGUUUGCUCUACAGCCUGUUCUCCCUCUAUCAGUCCCUAGCCAGCUAAAGAAGAAUGACUUGGAAGAUGACAUCAAAUCAGGUCCUAAAAAGAAUCCUCUGACCUACUUCUUCUGAAAGUAGAACAGAAGAUCCUCACUCCAGAGAGGUCCUGCCCUAUACCAGGAAAGAAGGAGUGGCACAGAGAGAGGCCAAGAGGAAUCCCAACCAUCGGGGCUUGCUAAAUUCCCCGAGUUUAUUUCCAUUAGAUUCCACCCGCUUUGGUCCAAACACACGUCUCCAAAACUGCCACUUUUCCUCCAAGUACAGUUUCCUUUGUUUCUCUGGAUCUUCCUUUCUGAAGUCUCUUGUAUCAUGUAAACUUCUAUUAAAGUAAUUUGUUAUGCUUGUC